rnacentral:tRNA from 1 species
GAGAGUAUAGCUCAGUGGUAGAGCACGUGCUUAGCCUGCAUGAGGUUCUGGGUUCAAUCCCCAGUACCUCCA